rnacentral:rRNA from 1 species
GACGAACGCUGGCGGCGUGCUUAACACAUGCAAGUUGAACGGUAAGGCCCUUCGGGGUACACGAGUGGCGAACGGGUGAGUAACACGUGGGUGAUCUGCCCUGCACUUCGGGAUAAGCCUGGGAAACUGGGUCUAAUACCGGAUAGGACAACUGCCUGCAUGGGUGGUGGUGGAAAGCUUUUGCGGUGUGGGAUGGGCCCGCGGCCUAUCAGCUUGUUGGUGGGGUGAUGGCCUACCAAGGCGACGACGGGUAGCCGGCCUGAGAGGGUGACCGGCCGCACUGGGACUGAGAUACGGCCCAGACUCCUACGGGAGGCAGCAGUGGGGAAUAUUGCACAAUGGGCGCAAGCCUGAUGCAGCGACGCCGCGUGAGGGAUGACGGCCUUCGGGUUGUAAACCUCUUUCAGCACCGACGAAGCGCAAGUGACGGUAGGUGCAGAAGAAGGACCGGCCAACUACGUGCCAGCCGCCGCAGUAA